CCCCCCAUGAAUGGGUCCAGGGGCGAGGU
rnacentral:sRNA from 1 species